rnacentral:rRNA from 1 species
CCUACGGGAGGCAGCAGUGAGGAAUAUUGCACAAUGGGGGAAACCCUGAUGCAGCAACGCCGCGUGAGUGAAGAAGGCCUUCGGGUUGUAAAACUCUUUUCUGAGGGAUGAGGAAGGACAGUACCUUAGGAAUAAGUCUCGGCUAACUACGUGCCAGCAGCCGCGGUAAAACGUAGGAGGCGAGCGUUAUCCGGAUUUACUGGGCGUAAAGGGCAAGUAGGCGGUGGCCAAAGUUGGGCGUGACAGAUCCUGGCUUAACUGGGAGAGGUCGUUCAAAACUAGGUUACUAGAGGGCAGGAGAGGGAAGCGGAAUUCCUAGUGUAGCGGUGGAAUGCUCAGAUAUUAGGAAGAACACCAGUGGCGAAAGCGGCUUUCUGGCCUGCACCUGACGCUGAAGGGCGAAAGCUAGGGGAGCGAACGGGCUUAGAUACCCCUGUAGUC